UGGUUUUGGAGCGGAAGUGUCCUUCCAUCUUUCUGUGGACGCUGGCUGAAGAUUGCCCCUUAUGGCCUGAGAAGGACUCACGUAGAGACAGGAUGAAGAUCAUGCAGGUUGAAGGGACACUGUGGGGAGGGGGCCGGUGCGGGGUCCUGGCGGGAGAACUGAGGAGGGUUCUGUCCUGGAUUUCUCCUCCUCUCACCUGUGCCCUGAGCGCCUGAACCAGGGCGCUGCUCAGGGCCUCCACCUCCGACACAGGUGCGCGUCUCACGGAUGGGCCACUGGUCGAGAGCCCACCGAGCCCAGCGCAGAGGUUUCCUCUGCCAGAAGGGGGCGCAGUGUCCCGGGCUCCACCUGGGGUGGGCGGGGUGGCUUCUCGGCAAGGAUGUUUCUUGGCUUUGGGGGGAAAACACUGGGAGCGAAAAUCCAGCUCUCUCCUGAUUCGAGAGCUUCGAAACGAAGUCCAAAAGAAUCAUUUCCUCCCACGGAAGAAAUCCUACCUUCCCGCAAGCCGGGGGCUGGGCGCCUUAGCCGCCUGGCUUCCUCAAAGGGUUAUCAGAGCCCGAGCCAUCUGCGGAUCAAGGACCCCGGUGGUGGAAUCCACAGGUGCAAGGACCACAGAUGUGGAAGUAUGACUGCAAUCCCAUCAUGCAUCUUUGACCUCUAUCUUUUGCAUUCUGCACUUUCAAAGUUGAAGAGGAAAUAUAAUAUGUGGGUUUCCUCCUACCUCAUUGUGGGAACCCCAUCUCUCUUGGUUUCUACUCUGUAUGAUAUAGUGUGAGAAAGAUGAAAAAUCUAUUUUCUUCUUGGACAUCCCAAAGCAGAGAGAUGACAUCUUGAACUUUUUCUUGGCAUCCUGAUUAUGAAGCCUCAUUGCACAAGAGGAGACCUAAGAAGAAAUACGAAAUCUGCAGCCAUGAAACAAAGACUGUGACAAACUGAGGCAGAAAUUAGCCUACACUGCUAAAGCAGGAAGGGGUGGGUGAAGUGCGCGAGAAAAGUACAGCUUGCUGUGUGAAAAAAUGGAAAAAAGAACACUCAAAAGAAUGAGGAGAAGAGAGACUUCAAGAAUUAAACUUUUUUACCUUGAACUACCAGCCUAACUUAUGGCUUAGGAAACAUUUUUUCUUUGGACUUCAGUCUUGCUUUAGUUCCAAAUUGGGAUUGAAAUUGGGAAUUGUGAAGCUAAAAAUAUCAAACAAUCUUAGAUCCUUGCUGAAAAACAUCAGCGGCAACACACGGCAGAGCUCACCUCCCCCAUUCUUGACAUUUUAUUACAAGAAGAAAACCACAAGCCAAACUAGCAGAAGCUGUUAUAAUUAAACAAACCUUCAUGAGCUUCUAGUGGUUUUCAGGUUUCUGAGGCUCAGACAUCAUGUAAGAUGGGUUUAUUUAAUACGUGUUAUGGAAGGAGAAACAAAAGCACUUUUUAUUCUCUUUUGUAAAACAGAAGCCUGUUCCAUUUUACCCACUUCAUUUAGUCUUCCCAGGCUUGAGGUUAUCAUUUCCAUGUGACAUUUAACUACAUCAGUUUGGGAUAACGAGAAUUAACAUCUGUCAACUGGGGUACCCAAUGGCAAAUAACAGAGACCAAAUCUGACCCCAUGAAGGAAGAGGAACGUAUUGAAGUAGAUUGUGUGACUCCUAGAACCCCAGAAGGCUGGAGGGGGAACCUUGGAGGCAGUGAGUUCUAGAGAUGACCUGGUGGAUGCCUGCUGACUUUGCUCUGGCCACUGACUUUGUUCUGCAGCAUACUUCAAGACUGCCCUCCCAUUGGACAAGCUGCUGGAUGCUCUGUAAACCGGUGACAGCGGCCACCAACCUGUGAGUGUGCUCCCAAAUUCUAACUAGGCUUCCCAGUUGUCACAGGUUUGAACUUCCUCCUGCUGGUUCUUCCUUCUCCAAAGGUUUCUAUGUAAAUACCUGCCCUACAGACACCCCUUGUUUGGUUAUCCUUAUCCAGUGGAAGGGGAUUGUGUUACAACACAUACCCAAAAGCACACCUCCUCAGUUGCUUUUACCCAAGUUGAAGUUGUUCCGACUGGAGCGGUUCCUGAGGCUUCAGCAUGAUGGUCAGUGGUGUUUACAGAAGUGGUCCAAACCCGCAGACACUGAGUCCGCUAGCCUGGGUCUUCUUCCUAGUUCUGCCCCAGGCUUGGAAGGUACUCUUGAUUCUUUAACUACUUAACCUGUUACAGCAAGUUCACGCAUGUCUCCAAAGGAGGGACAGGUCUCAGGGGAUAGUGUAGUCUUGACUCAUACCAAGAAGGAAAAUUCUCAUCCUCAUUGUAAGGCUGUAUUCCAGCCGGGGCUGUGCGCCUUAUUUCAUGCCAAGUGGUCACCUUGGAGUCCCCUAAGGCAGCAAAGGACCACAGUCUUCUCUACUGGCUGUUCCCACGGGCACGCCUGGUCAGGGUUCCCGGCUGACCAUUAAUGGUGGGACUCUUCCAUCCUCUCGUUCUUCCCCAUCUCCUUCUUGGGGGUGCAGGGCAGCACGGUGCCCAUUCUUCCCAUCGCCAUGUGAUGUGUCACUCUCCACGUGCUCAUGGUGCAGGUCAUACCUUGCAUGUUUAAGGCGGUGGAUAACUAGCUUGAGAAUUAACUAUGCUUAUUUUUUUCCGGCUGUAAGCUCAACAGGAAGGAAUGAGAGGUAUUUUUUCCUUCUCCCGUGAGGAGCCAGGUUACACGUCCUGGGUGUUUGGAUUUGCCUUUAAUGCCUUUGUUGUCAACAGUCUCAUUUCCUGCAGGAGUCGGGGCUCAGCCCAUUCUGCAGGUUUAAGGGGAGUGGAAGAGGGUGGGGCUCCCUGGCUGGCCUAUUAGAAGGAGGUGAGACUGGAAUGGUGAAAUCUGGUCCAGUUUGCAGGUUCCACCUCAUGGAAGAUGAUACCUUGGGUGAGGGCUGGUUACUUGGAGACCAGUGAAAGCUAGUGUGGUGCAGGGCCGAGCGAUGGCCAAUGCCCAGGCGCCAAGAAGAAGGUGGCAUGCUCAGCAUUACCUGCUGGGGCACCAGGACCACGCCAGAGUGGGUUCAUGGUGCAGCUGAGACUCAUUUCAGAUGGAAGCACGGCACUGGGCCGAUGUGGACCACACUCACCAGUGUCGGGGCAAACCAGUGAGCGCUGAACCCCGACCCAGAGAACUGCAUAGGGCAUCUCCAAGUUCUCAGAGUCCUGUACAGCCCAGGUGGGGGUGGCAGCCCUGGAGCACAGAAUGGACUUCGAGCUUCUCCCUUACCCUUAAAAAGAACUUGCUUGGAAAUGAUGUUAUAUUUACAGAAAUGUUGCAAAAAUGUACAGAAAAUUCACAUGUACCUCUCACCCAGUUUUCAGCAUGGUUAACAUUCUUUGGUUCCCAUGGUACAAUUGUCAAAACUCAGAUACCAUCUUUGGUACAUAUUGUUAUUGUUUGAACUCCAAACCUUAUCUGAAUUUCACCAGUUUUCCACUAACAUCUCCUCCCUGUUCCAGGAUUGAAACCAGGUUACCACACUGCAUCUCACUGCCAUGUUUCCCCAGUCUCCCCUGGUUGGUAUAGGCUUCUCAGUCUCCCCUAGUUUCUGUGGCCAUAGUCUUUCCUGGUACUGGACAGUGAUCUUGAAGGAUGUCUCCUCCGCUGGGCUGUCACUUCUUGUCUCACGAUUAGAUUGGGGUUACGGGAGCGGGAGAAGAAUAACACGGGGUGAAGUGCCCUUCUCAUCAGAAGGCAUGUGAUUCCCACAUGAUCCCCUCACCGCAGCCUUCCUCUUUGGUUAAGGGGUGCCCACCACGUUUCACCAGUGUAAAGGAUUAUUUUUCCUUCCCCAUUCCAUUCUUUCUAUGCCACCCUAAUCCUUCUGGCAUUUGCAGUAGAAAAAUAAAGAAAUGUUAUUGCUACUUGCAGCUCAGUGUCACGGAACAAUCCUUGCCUAUUCUA
ensembl:lincRNA